rnacentral:rRNA from 1 species
UACGUAGGUGGCAAGCGUUGUCCGGAAUUAUUGGGCGUAAAGCGCGCGCAGGCGGUUCCUUAAGUCUGAUGUGAAAGCCCCCGGCUCAACCGGGGAGGGUCAUUGGAAACUGGGGAACUGAGUACUGAAGAGGAAAGCGGAAUUCCACGUGUAGCGGGUGAAAAUGCGUAGAGAUGUGGAGGAACACCAGUGGCGAAGGCGGCUUUCUGGUCAGUAACUGACGCUGAGGCGCGAAAGCGUGGGGGAGCAAACAGGAUUAGAA